GAUUUCAAGUGUUGAGAGGCUUCUGAUCCAUGAAAGACUUCAAGCCAUUGACACUCAGCUCUCCAGUCACUGAUGUCACUCCUUGGUAGUACAGAUCUUCUGGAACACUCUUUGCUGCAAAAGUGAUCCUCAGGGAAAGCAGAGAAUCGAAGCUGAGAGGGAGGAUUAGUCCCAGAGGAUGCCAUGAUCAGCAGCUGGAAACAAGGAAGAGAAGCUGGAAGCACAAGACCAUCAGAGCUGCAUCGGCUGUGUUUAACAUCUGUGAGCUCAGAAAUGAAGGGAAGAAAGAGAUUCUCGCUGACAAAUUCUGCCACAAGACAAAUGAGUGGCUAUGUUAAAACUGCUUGGAUGACGUUUCCCUUUUCUACAUGCAACUGAAUACUACCUACCUGUGCAGAGGUAUCUCCAUGGCACCAAACAAAUAAAUAAAUAAAGUAAACUA